GUCAGCUGGUGUCGCAGGAGCCAGGCAACGAGUCAUCAGCCACUGGAACACCUGAGGGUAACCUUUCCUCACAGCCCCGUUCUCCAGCCAGCCCAACCAUAAACUUGAACCUGGCGGGCCAUCACCUUCCCUACAUGAAGAUCAGCACAGCUCCCUAGGAGAUCUUCCUCUCUUGGGGGCUAUCUCCUUCCUUCUCUAGAGAGGUUACUAAAAUGCUCCAGCAGGGGUAUGGACCAUGAUGACACUACUUAUGUUGCCUCUGAAACCUCCCAAUGCCAAGCUGCAGAGCAACCAGCUAUGGGAGUAAGCUCUAUUAGGAGGGGCGGGCCAGAAAUAAGAGGUGGAGUCAGCCACCAAGCAAACUCGCAGGUUUAGCUGUGGACCUCUCUAUGGAACUUCCUAUCUUGAGGUGGGGAGAUUAGCUAGUUCUACCCCCAAACCAAUCUGCAAUCGGAUGACAGUCGUCCUAGUUGAUGGAAGAACCCACAAGACUCAUCUGGAUCAACUGGGCACUUCUGAUCAAGGACAAUUGUCGGAGGUGGCCGUUUUAGAUGGAAAGAAAACACUGUGGGGCAGAAGAACUGAAUGGAGCCAAGUGGAAUCUAGUAGAGCUCCAACGGGGUAUCUACACUGGGACAGAGGACCCACCUAGCAUGGCCUCUUUCCUUUCACUCUCACUUGGACCCCUCUAGAAUCUGAAUUUCUGCCGCUCUCCUGUUGGCCCAAUAUGCAGCUAUCAUCAAUUCCUGUGUAAAAGGGAACCACUCACUUCUUCGUGUUUCCACUUCAUGAAAAGCUGGACCAUCUAU